UACGGAGGGUGCGAGCGUUGUCCGGAAUCACUGGGCGUAAAGGGCGCGUAGGCGGCCUGGUAAGUAGGGGGUGAAAUCCUGCGGCUUAACCGCAGGGCUGCCUUCUAAACUGUCAGGCUAGAGCACGGUAGAGGCAGAUGGAAUUCCCGGUGUAGCGGUGGAAUGCGUAGAGAUCGGGAAGAACAUCAGUGGCGAAGGCGGUCUGCUGGGCCGUUGCUGACGCUGAGGCGUGACAGCGUGGGGAGCAAACAGG
rnacentral:rRNA from 1 species